ACAGCAGGCCGGAUAACCGCUGGUUUUUAUAUCAGAGGAAAGUCCGGGCUCCGCAGAACAUGAUGCCGGGUAACUCCCGGGGGUACAUAAGUAUUACAGACAGUGCCGCAGAAAACAAACCGCCGGUUAUAAAACUCAGGUUUUAUAACCGGUAAGGGUGAAAAGGCGGGGUAAAAGCCCACCGCUCUCCCGGUAACGGGAGGGGCAUGGUAAACCUCAUCAGGAGCAAGGUUAAACAGCAGUCAUGGUUGUUCGCCUCACGGCUGCGGGUAAACCGCUUGAGUUAUAUGGAGACAUAUAACCUAGAUAGAUGGUUAUCGAUAACAGAACCCGGCUUACAGGCCUGCUGCUAUU
rnacentral:RNase_P_RNA from 1 species